rnacentral:rRNA from 1 species
AAUAUUUGACAAUGGGCGAAAGACUGAGCCCGCCAGGCCGCGUGUGUGAAGAAUGUCUUCUGAUGGUAAAGCACUUUAUUCUGGGCGGAAGGGUUGUAGAUUAAUACUCUGCAAUUUUGACGUUACCAAUAGAAUAAGCACCCUCUAACAUCGGUCCAUCAGUCGCGGUAAUACGAAGGGUGCAAGCGUUAAUCGGAAUUACUGGGCGUAAAGCGCGCGUAGGUGGUUCGUUAAGUUGGAAGUGAAAGCCCCGGGCUUAACCUGGGAAUUGCUUUCAAAACUGACGAGCUAGAGUACGGUAGAAGGUAGUGGAAUUUCCUGUGUAGGGGUGAAAUGCGUAGAUAUAGGAAGGGACAUCAGUGGCGAAGGCGACUACCUGGACUGAUAAUGACACUGAGGUACGAAAGCGUGGGGAGCAAACA